UGCGGCGUAGCUCAGUGGUAGAGCGCCGGGCUCAUACCCCGGAGGUCGCAGGUUCGAGCCCUGCCGCCGCUUCUA
rnacentral:tRNA from 1 species